rnacentral:rRNA from 1 species
UACGUAGGUGGCAAGCGUUGUCCGGAUUUACUGGGCGUAAAGAGCGCGCAGGCGGUCGGAUAAGUCGAAUGUGAAAGCCCCCGGCUCAACUGGGGAGGGUCAUUCGAUACUGUUCGACUCGAAGGCAGGAGAGGGAAGUGGAAUUCCCGGUGUAGUGGUGUAAAUGCGUAGAUAUCGGGAGGAACACCAGUGGCGAAGGCGACUUCCUGGCCUGUUCUUGACGCUGAGGCGCGAAAAGCUGGGGGAGCAAACGGG